ensembl:lncRNA
CAUUAAUAAGAGAAGGCACUGACCCUCGAUUUCCGAGAACCAGGGAAAAAUUUGGAGCAUCUCCAAGAUUAUAGCUGCCAGUGGCGAUGGGGAGAGUGGCCGUGAUAUCUCACCUCCGGCCUCUCCUUCUGGCUGUCCAAGCUCUGGACUCUGAGCUCCGCCCGUCACAGCCAAACAGGACAGGGAGAUCGUGGGAAAGACAAGUGGCAGACACGGAGCCGUCCACGUGCAGUUACUCGCUUUACACUGUUUCUUGGUGCCAUAUGAGUGGUAAACUCCUCAGAACAUCAUCGCAGGAAAUCCAGCAAGCAGCCAGACCAAAGUUGGAGAGUCGGCCAUGUGAUUUCUUGUUAUCUGUCCAGAAGCCACUGUAAAUUCACUACAAAAAGCAAGCUCCUGGCUCCCAGGAGGAGAAGUGUCGCUGGAAGAAAGUCAGGAGGAUGCGGC